rnacentral:rRNA from 1 species
AUCGAACGCUGGCGGCAGGCUUAACACAUGCAAGUCGAACGAGCGGCGGACGGGUGAGUAAUGUCUGGGAAACUGCCUGAUGGAGGGGGAUAACUACUGGAACCGGUAGCUAAUACCGCAUACCAUCAGAUGUGCCCAGAUGGGAUUGGCUAGUUGGUGGGGUAAUGGCUCACCCAGGCGACGAUCCCUAGCUGGUCUGAGAGGAUGACCAGCCACACUGGAACUGAGACACGGGCCAGACUCCUACGGGAGGCAGCAGGGGGGAAUAUUGCACAAUGGGCGCAAGCCUGAUGCAGCCAUGCCGCGUGUAUGAAGAAGGCAUUCGGGUUGUAAAGUACUUUCAGCGGGGAGGCGUUACCCGCAGAAGAAGCACCGGCUAACUCCGUGCCAGCAGCCGCGGUAAUUC